rnacentral:rRNA from 1 species
AUGCCACGUGUACAUGCAGGGCAUGGCGAUGGCACUGUUCUGCCUUUUCGUUCCGUUUUCCAUUGCCCCCACCACUCGUCGUUUCCUUCGACAAGAAGGAAGAGAGGUCCCAGAUGCGUCCGCCCUAUUCCAACCUACUUCUUCUUUCUCUCUCUCGAAGACCCACUCCACUCGCGGCAGUGCGCCACCCGCCUCCGCACCAUUUCGCUGUUGUCUUCCCCGUCCCCCCGCGUGAUGCCGCAGCAGCCGAUGGAGGCAUUCAGAUUCGACGCGCUCAAGGAGACCUUCUCAGUGGACGUGGCAGCAGCCGAGUCGCGCCCACUCAACGUGCCGCUCGCCACACCCUUCACCAUCGCCUCCUCAUGCCUCGAGGUCAUCGCCAAUGUCGCCAUGUGGGUCGAUCUCUCCAGCGGCCCCGUCGGCUGGGGCGAGGCCCUGGUCCUCCCCUCCGCCGGAGCAGGAGUGGGGAUGGCAAUGAUUGCCGUGGUAGCUAACAACAUCUGCAUACCCUUGUGGAGAUUAUUUGGGGGAGCAUCAAACACUGUGACAACAGACAUCAUGGGUCAUUUAAAAAAAAUAGACAUCACGAUUCCAAUUGUGACCCCAAAUGAAGCCGCUCAAUUGGCUGCUAAAUAUCGAGGACAAGGGUUUCAGACUCUGAAGCUCAAAGUAGGGAAAAACUUGAACUCAUACAUAGAAGUUCUGAAGGCUAUAUGGCUUGUGCAUCCUGACAACUCAUUUAUCUUGGAUGCAAAUGAAGGGUACACAGCAAACCAUGCAAUUGAAGUUCUUGACAGACUAAACACUCCUACUCCAUCCUGCAGGUGUCAUAAUUUGUAUGAUGUUUCCAUUAUUAAGUUUUGCGAUCUAAUGCCUUGCUCUACUGUUUUUAUUUUUGAUCUCAACGUUUCAAAUUUUAUCGGACUAUGGUUACUUGAAUGCCCAAUACUUCUCCCGGGGUUUCCGGUAACCUCUCAGUACUCCAAAAAAUCACACAAAGUGUUCCUCCAGUAUUCAGGAGUUGCAUAA